rnacentral:lncRNA from 1 species
GGGGAAAUCUCAGUUAGCAAUCAGAAAUUCCCUGCUAAUUGAAUGUCUGAUUUUAUUAAUGAUGAAAUUUAUAAAGGUCCUUAAGAAAAGAAAAGAAUUUAGCCAGUUCAGCAGUUAAGUGUGAAUAUUAACUAACUCUGAGAUAAAAGUUAAAAUAUCCAUUUUCUUUUCUUUUCUCUAGUUCUUUAAAUAAAAAGCUCUCUUUGACAUUUCAUCCCAUUAGAGCUUUAGCUUCCUUUGCCAUCCAUUGCUAAAUGGCUGGAGACUGUGCAGAGAAUGUAAUGUCCUGGAUGGUUUAAGAAAUGCUGACCUUAGAGGGCAGGAAGUUAAUACAUGGAUCAUCAUAGUGCUUAUUUUCCUUGAUGCUUGCUCUCUGAUGAUGCUUUGGCUGGGCUUUUUUGGUGGCCUGCGUCUCCAUUGGUGCACCUUGACUGCCCCGCUGAGAAGCUUUGGUGAGGACUUACACCUCCACUACAGAGCACCAUGGCAGAUCUUUUUUUUCCUUUAAAUGAAAAGUAUGAAGUUUCCACAGGAAGCAGGAACAUUCUCCAAAAUUGUAAUUAUGUCAAAGAGAACACAUUUGGAUUAAAACUCCUUAGGAGGUGGAUCUUUCACACAAGUGUUGGAUAACUCGACAUGACUGUCAGAUUAGAACCAGCAUUGGUACUGCAGCCAUUUCAGAAGUGACACAGUGUGGAAAAAACGGUACCUGGGAGCAUGUUCAGCUUACACCCAUGGCAUACUGGUAAGAGCCACUGUUGGCAUCUCGUUUUCAUAGGCACCAUAUUUGAGAAUUUCUGCAUUUGUUUUUAUGCAACUCACUUAACUCUCUGCCAA